ensembl:snRNA U6 U6 spliceosomal RNA
GUGCUUGUUUCAGUAGCACAUUAUACUAUAAUGGGAAUGAUACAGAGAAGAUUAGCAUGGCCCCUGCACAAGAAUGACACUCAAAUUCAUGAAGCAUUCCUUAUUUUU